AGCAGCUGCGGCGUCUGCCUGACACACCGAAUUACCGUCUCUCCCCAAAGAGACGGGAUGCAGCCCUAAAGCGCUGACUGGGAAGUGCCCUACCUGGGAAGAAAUUCUCCAAAUAUGAAGAACUUAAAUGAAUAUCCAACAUCUUCCAGAUGGCUUCCUCAAACACAAAAAUAAUCAAUUUCCCUAGGUGAAAGGCUUUGGUCUCCAAAGCUCAGCUCAGAUCUAUCUGAUACAAAGCUCUUAUGUGAGAUUGUCAAGUGAAUCUGCAUCAGCAGAGUAGCUAAAGCAUGCACCUAAAAGCAGAUGAAAUGAGCCUCUCCUCAAUGUUUAUCUUAAAAUCCAAAAGAAUAUUCCAGUCUAUGACACUUGGAUUUUUCGCUCAUUGAGAAGAAAAGGGAUCACAGAGAAAUCACCUGGGAUGUCAGAGAACUGUUUUAAAAGGACUAAACUCCCUAAAUCUGGUCUUUAUCGACAAGUCAUGAGACAAACAUAAACACUGAAAGAAAAAAACAAGGAAUGUUUAAACCAUUUUUCUUUCCCCAGAAGCAAGUGGCUUUUAGAAUAUUCAUCGCACAAAUUGCUUUCAUUACAAAUUGGAACAAGAAUAAGUUUUGGAAUUCUGAUUUCUCAUGACAGAGCUCUGAUUCUAUGGUGAAAAAAUUGCUCAAACAGGAAAUUUCCUUCCUUCAAUAAUGCGUUGAUCUCUGCCCUUAUAUCAGACCAAUUCUAUCUUCUAGGAGCUCACUCUGAAAAAAUAUGAUGUUUCUGCAGACCACUGUGUUUAAACAAAACCAUUGUUCUCCCUCUUGUUUGUAACAAAAGGUAAUGAAUGGAGACUGGGAGUUCCUGAGUACAGCAGGAGCUCUGGAAUAACUAUUAACAAGAAUUUCUGAAAAAGAAGGAGUUUGAUGUGAAGGGGCGAAGCAUAAGGACAAAUCAGAUAGAAGAAGAUAUGCUGAUUUUCCAGUCUGGGCUGGAAAUAACAUAGAUGGAGAAGUGAAAAAGAAUAGGAAACAUCGUGUCUGCAAACUGUUCUCUCAGUGGAUGUUUUUGGGAGAGUGUCAGCUAAAGGAUUCAACUUUUGGUAGGAUAUGUGUUACCCAUGCCCAAAUUUGUGGGUAAUCAACUCACAAAUCAGCUGAUGACUUAGUUAAAUGUUGCUUCCUUAGAAAAAACACUCAAGUUUGCAAAUACCUUUGAUGAUACGCUUUUGGCAACUCAGGGACAGGCUGGAGCACGUUCGCCUUCUCUGUCACACGUUCCCCUCUGCACUUCCCCACGGGCAAAUGCAAGUCCAAAAAUGCAAGAAAGUAUCCUGUAUUAAUUUCUUUGUGGUGUCUUCCUCUGCAAACAAAAAACUUGCAGUUCUUUGCACACUUAUGAGGAGAAGCAGCAAUAAUCUCAAUUCACCAUCCCACUUAGAAUGGGAAUUCAGAAACAUUUUACUUGUCAGGCCAUAAAUCAAAUCUUCUGUUUGCAUCUGUAACUUCAUUGGCUCUGAAAGCAGAACAGGAGCUGCUUUUCCUCCUUCAGGCUGAGAUUUUAGUAACAGUUAAAGUGGGAAUACAGAGUCAAAAUUUACACUUGUAGCCAAUAGGUGAAACAGAAAACGCAUAUUCUGCUGCUUUUGUGGGAGGGAAUACACUAUGGUAAAUUGAAUAACCCCCAAUACUUUGACAUCUUAGGAGGGAAAAUAUAAGGCAAUCAGGUGCUCCUGAAGUGCUCAGUCUGUUGUUUGGCUCAGUUUGCUGCCUCUCUAGAAACCUGAUGUGUAUUCUUGGCAGCAGGCAUCAAUGCCCCGAGGGAGAGGAUAUACAAGCCUGCAGGAAUGUAGAUAAACAUCUGAGUUCUUACUCUGCAUAACAACAACAAAAAAUAAUCAGUGAAAGCCUUCAAAGUGCUGCCAAGGGGCCCUUCUUCAUAGUCACAAGUACCAUACUAAGAGGAGAGCUUAUACUUCUCAUUGAAAAUAUUUCAUAUUUAGUAGAUCCAAUCAUAAUUCUGACUUUUUUUUGACAACAGAAAAAAUAAUUUAUAGGGUUUUAUUUUUCUGGGGCCAAGCAGGGAGAAAUGUGUGUUCUUUCUAGCACUGGGCAAUGUUUUCCUUGUAGUAAUGCCUAAUGGUUUUGUCAGUUGUUAUUUGUAAUAUUUAUAAUAACUUUCAGAACCAAAAAUGCAGGAAACAUUAUUUUGUAAAAUUUAGUAGCUUGCUGGGAAUAAUUUUACACUUCACAGAAGCGUCUACUGAAGCAUCUAUUCUAGAAGCACACAGAGUUCAGCUGGUAUAACUGAGGGUGUGUAAUUGUCAGGGAAAAUAGUAUUUUAUUAUAGAAUUUUCUAACAGUGGAUAUUUGGUCAACUGUGGCAAUUCCACAGACGUACAGAAUGACUGCCCUUUGGGAGUGCUAUUUAUAAACUCAAAAGUGCCUGAACAGCACUUGCAAAAAGGCUGCCAGUUUCAAGAAAAUUAAUGACAAUCUGACAUUGUUGGAGGAUGAAGAGAGAAGAGGCUUUGUGCUGAGCUUAAGGCAUGAAGUGUGUUUGCACUGCUUUGUCUUGGCCUCUCUGUGGAAGCCUGGGGUAUUGAUGGGAGCACCCUGCUCAUGGCACUGUCAGCUUAGGCAAAUCAAUACAGGAAAAUGUAAACUUACAGGUAACCUCACAUCCCUUUCUCCUAAAGGCUCCCAAGAGAAAACGGUAUCUUUGUGUCCUGGAGCCUUAAGGGUGUGUCUUUGCUGUACUUCCAUUAAAAAACAAUCCACAACAAAACCACAGAACCCACCCCACAAGACAAUCACACCCAAAAUAGUUCCCUGAGUGCAAGUAGUUUGUGCAGAGUUUCUUCACUGAAUCCAGCCUUUUGAUGAUAGACUGGCUUUAUUUGGAAUUUUAAAAAAUCCAAUCAGACACAGUUCAACGACAAGUCCACACUGCUCUAGAGACUAACAAUUCCCUGCUUUAAACUUUCCUGACGGAUGUCAAAACUGAACUUACUGCACACAACCACCAGAUGAGCACCAGAACCAGCACAGGAGUGAGAGAGGCAGAAAGAGAAGUUCAGUGUCAAAGAGUGACACAUUCCAGUUGCUGUGUCAGUGCCUCAGCUGCUGUUGGCAACCACAGCACAACUUCCAGCACAAAGGCCCUGUACAGGUAUCAGUGACUGUCUCUGAAUAAAAAAGCACUUUCAGUUGAUACCAUCAUCCUGCCUGUGUCACAGAAAUGCAGGCACAUAUACAACAUGUGCAUUUACUGUGAUAUGAGUAUUUAUGAAUCAAAUGUUUUAAUAAAAUUCACUGACUUCUGAGCAAACUUUUUAUCUCCUGAUCACUUCAAGUUUGGCUACAUUGCUGUUACUGAUGGUGUGAGGGGAAAAUUACAUUUCUAAUGCUGUAUGUUUUGUGUGAAGUCAUCUCUGCAGAAAAAAGGCUUUGUAUCCUGCUCGCAGAGCAUGUGUGAGAACUGUUACAACAACAACAAGCAGCUUCCCGUUACUUUUAUUUUGGAAAGACAAAAUGGCUGAGGGCCACAGCUGUUGAUUUAUUCAGAUGCCGAAGGAAACCAUUAGCCCAUUGGACCCUGAAGAUGAGAUUCCUUUGUGCUAAAUGUUAAUAUAAGGAAAUCCCAAACAGGGGCUGCCAAAGGAACAUAAUACAAAUGCAAAAUGCCA